rnacentral:rRNA from 1 species
CCAAUAGCGUAUAUUAAAGUUGUUGCAGUUAAAAAGCUCGUAGUUGAAUUUCGGGGUCAGUAGGUUGGUCGUGCCACGGGUAUGUACUGGUCUCACUGAUUCCUCCUUCCUGAUGAACCGUAAUGCCAUUAAUUUGGUGUUGCGGGGAAACUGGACUGUUACUUUGAAAAAAUUAGAGUGUUUAAAGCAGGCUAACGCCUGAAUACAUUAGCAUGGAAUAAUGAAAUAGGACGUUCGAUCCUAUUUUGUUGGUUUCUAGGAUUGACGUAAUGAUUAAUAGGGAUAGUUGGGGGCAUUAGUAUUCAAUUGUCAGAGGUGAAAUUCUUGGAUUUAUUGAAGACUAACUACUGCGAAAGCAUUUGCCAAGGAUGUUUUCAUUAAUCAAGAACGAAAGUUAGGGGAUCGAAGACGAUCAGAUACCGUCGUAGUCUUAACCAUAAACUAUGCCGACUAGGGAUCGGAUGAUGUUAAUUUUUUAAUGACUCAUUCGGCGCCUUACG